rnacentral:rRNA from 1 species
GACGAACGCUGGCGGCGUGCCUAAUACAUGCAAGUAGAACGCUGAAGGAGGAGCUUGCUCUUCUGGAUGAGUUGCGAACGGGUGAGUAACGCGUAGGUAACCUGCCUGGUAGCGGGGGAUAACUAUUGGAAACGAUAGCUAAUACCGCAUAACAGUAGAUGUUGCAUGACAUUUGCUUAAAAGGUGCAAUUGCAUCACUACCAGAUGGACCUGCGUUGUAUUAGCUAGUUGGUGGGGUAACGGCUCACCAAGGCGACGAUACAUAGCCGACCUGAGAGGGUGAUCGGCCACACUGGGACUGAGACACGGCCCAGACUCCUACGGGAGGCAGCAGUAGGGAAUCUUCGGCAAUAGACGGAAGUCUGACCGAGCAACGCCGCGGGAGUGAAGAAGGUUUUCGGAUCGUAAAGCUCUGUUGUAAGAGAAGAACGAGUGUGAGAGUGGAAAGUUCACACUGUGACGGUAUCUUACCAGAAAGGGACGGCUAACUACGUG